AGGACUAUAAGAAGGAGGCGAGCCAGUACUUCGACGCCUGAGUGUUUUGCCUCCUCGUGGAUACCAAAGCCUAGUUCCUAAGAGAUCUCUGGAAGACUUCUAACAGUUUAUGGAUUCUGGAUUCUCGCUCUUCUACCUGCUGGCUGCCGGAUCAGACGUUUGCUUCAUAGCUCCAGGAGAACCCUGUCCACCCUCCUCCGAACCUCUCAGGACUACCUUGCUCUAACGUUGCUGUGUUGCUCACAGCCCCUCAAGGAUCAUAACCUGUCUCCCUGGCGGACCUAACUCAACUGGACUCGCUCAGCAUCCUCGGUUUCCAGUACCUGUAUCUGCAAAUAAAACUUCUUACUAAAC